rnacentral:rRNA from 1 species
GGAUUAGGCAUGCAAGUCGAACGGGAUCCUUAAGAUUCAAUUCUUCGGAAGAGAAUUUUUUGGUGAUAGUGGCGAACGGGUGAGUAACGCGUGGGCAAGCUGCCCUGAAGCUCGGGAUAGCUUCGAGAAAUCGAAGGUAAUACCGAAUGUGAUCGCCUCGAGCAUGUGAGGUUAUUUGAAGGUGGGGAUCUUCGGACCUGCCACUUCAGGAUGCGCCCGCGUCCCAUCAGCUAGUUGGUGAGGUAACGGCUCACCAAGGCAAAGACGGGUAGCUGGUCUGAGAGGAUGGUCAGCCACACUGGGACUGAGACAUUGCCCAGACUCCUACGGGAGGCUGCAGUCGAGAAUCAUUCGCAAUGCCCGAAAGG